AUGCCUAGAAAAUACAAUAUUUUUAUAAAAAUAAUUCAAUAAAAAUACCAGUAAAAUUGCCACAAGUAUUAAACUACUUUUUCUAUACUUCCUCAGAGUCCAACAAUGUCUGCGUAUAUAGGUCUUCAUGGAUAGUAGAACGCAUGUCUAGGAAGGCAGUGACAUGCAAUAAGCAACAGCAGCAACAACGUCAACAACAACAACAACUAUUACUAGAGGCUUGUUUCCAACAAAUGCGAGAAAAAAGAGAACAAUUCAGUUCAAGAAUUUGAAGUGAAAAAGGCACCAUAAAAGGCAAUUAACACCUUGUACACUAUAAUUAUUGACAACAGAUGCAAGAAAAAAGAGAACAUAUAAGUUCAAGAAUUGAUGUGAUAGAGGCACCCUUAAGAGCAAUUGCGUUUAUACAUGAAAUGCCAACAAACCAUACUCUAUGAUAUUUGAAAAAGAAAUCAAAUGUUAAUUAUAUGCAAUCACAGUCAACCAACAUGCCCUUAUGAGUCCUCCUAGUUGACAACAAACCUAUGAAUCUAACUCUCCGAAAACACAUGGAGAUAAUAUGGAUCAGAACCAAAUAUUCACUAUGAAUUGAUAUAAGGAGCUGAAGGCAAAGAAACAGAGGUACGGUGUAAAGAGAUCACAUCUAGGGUGGUCCAAUGCAUGAUGCUACUACCAAUGUGAUGUUCAAAGGGGUCAAUUUAUACAGCAAUACUGUUGCAAGCAAAGAGGCAGGAGAAAUCACAUGGUUGAUGGUAAAUAAUCAUGAGAAAUUGAACUGUAAGGGGGAUCUUGUUUAAAGAUGAAAAAUAGAGUGCUUUACCUUAUGAUGAAAUAAAUAAUCAAAAACUUAUAGUGGAACAGUCUAAUCAUCAUGAAAAAGACAGCUGAAACUUUCCAUUCAUGUACACGUCUCGAUAUUCAAUGCUUUUUCUUCGAGAUAACAUAUCUGUUCCCCACAAUUCCAUUUUCAUUUUGCAUCUUUAAUUUUCAAUUCACUUGUCCAGGAAAAGAUGGAAAUGGAUUUACUCACUAAAACUGGCAAACAAUAUCCACUGAUGUCUCUUCAUCCUCCCCAUGUAAUGAGCUCAUAGCAGCUGCUACCAUCAUCUUGCCAUUAGGAAAGUUGGGUAUCUCAGCACAGCGAGGUAGAGGAGACAAUCUAAAUCCGCUAGCCAAUUAGUUGCAGAAGCACCAGGAGGUGGUGGAAAGAUGUCCUCAAAGGCCAUGAACCUGAACUCAUCGUGUGAUGGCAAGGACAACAAUGGCACACCCAAGGAUGGUAAUGAAUGUAGGAAUGGGACCGAAAUCAGUGGCAAUGAGGUCAAGGUAAGUUAAGGGUUCAGCUGAAGAAAAAGUACUGGAAUUUCUCAGGCAGGCAUAGGGAAGUAAGAGGUAGAGGCAUGAAGUAGCAGAUGAGAACAUUAGAAAGAAGGUAGAAGAGUAACAGAAGAGAAGAAAGGGUGGCAGAAGUUACAGAAAUAUACACUACAAAGGUCAGGAAUUGAGAGAGUUUCAUCAAAGAAGCAGUUUUUAAUGUCUAUUUCAAAUCAACAAAGCAAAAAAUCAAUCUUCCUGGUUUUAUCUUAUCUAUGGUCAGAAGGAACUCUACAAUAUUUAUAUUUCUUAAAAGAAUAUAUCGAAAUGCAAAAUAUUAAUCAGUUAUCUCUUUGGUUUGUCAAAGAACUACAGCAUAUUGUUAUGCAAUCAAACACAUGUUUCUAAUGAACACAACUCUGGAAUUUCAUUAGAAAAAUAAUAAACAAUAUAACUUCAACAACAACCACCCGUGGCCCGUUGUCGUUUGUCAUCAUUAAUCAUUAAUGUCAUUUGUCAUUACCAAUUGAAACAUUAAAUACCUUUUUAUCCUAUAUUUUCGUGCUUUAGUCAGUAAAAUUAAUGAUGUUAAAGGUAAAUGAACCUAAAUAUUUUAUUUUCAUAAUUAUAGAUAUGUUAAUAUAAUUUUUUAAAAUAUAAAGAUUAAAACGUUAAAGAUAACUAACUAACUAGCAAUAUUAAUAUUAAUAUGUAAUUAACCCUAAAACACUAAUGUAGCAGACUUCCAAGUCCUUUGGUUCAAUGUAAUCAACCAUAACAUUCUACGAGGAAGAUUGGUCUGCGACGACCAUGGAUGAGGUUGGUUUGUCCAAGUUCCUCUUGGAAACCAAUGAUGUGCCUGCAAUCGAAUGCGAUGAGCCCAUCGAAGGUUGAGCCGGAGAUGACGUAGCGAAGAUAGUGAUGCUGGUGACAACCGCCAAGCCACCAUCUGCGGCCUUCGGAGCCGGAGGCCUGUCUAUGGCCGAAACCCCUUCCAGCAUCUGCACAACCUUCCCCAUCGACGGUCUCUGCGAGGGCUGCUCCUGGAUGCACCAUAAGCUCACCAGUAGCGCCCUCUCCAGCUGCUCCAUGUCCACGUCGUGCUCGGCGAGCCUCUUGUCCAUGGCGCUCUUGAUGUUUCUUCCCUUCUCCAGCUCUUCGUACGCCCACACCGAGAACUUCUUCCGGCCAGUGUCAUCCGAAACAUCGAAGUUAUUAUUCUCUCAUGUAAAAUGUUUUCUCAAAAAAAAAAAAAACAUAAAAUUCCACUCUGAUAUCAGAGCCAGGUUUCGAUCCUGGGACCUGUGGGUUAUGGGCCCACCACGCUUCCGCUGCGCCACUCUGAUUGUUAAUUUUAUCUGUCAUAUACUUUAUUUAGAGAAUUCUGGUAGAUAAGUCUAAAUAAUAGAUGCAAUGUCCGGAAACGCACAAAUCAUUGAGCCUAUGAACAAACUGGUUAGGAGGGCUGUGUAUGUGCGUGUGUGAAUAUAACAUCUGAAUAGGAGACCCAAAAAAAAAAGGAAAACUGUCAAUAUAACAAGACAUAAAACAUAUAAUGACUUUUAUAUAAGUUAGACAUGGAGAGAAGUAUACAUUUCAAAUUGCUAAGGCUAUAAAAAGAAAGAGCAACGAUUAGGUAAUAUUAGAUACAUAACAAAAUUAAGGAAAGAUGGAUAAAUUAAUUUUCCAAAAUAUAUAGUGAAAAUUUGACAAAUAACUAAGACCUAAAAAUUGAUAAUAGUGGUAGGUUUGGUAAUCAUCGAUUGGUUCCUGAAAGAUUUUAAAAAAUCAAGGAAUAAUUUGAUUGAUUAGUUUCUUUUUAAAAAAAUAAUAUUUAGAAAAUUACCUAAUAAAUAUUGGAAGAACUUUCAAUUGAUAAAAAAUAAGGAAAUUUGAUGUUAGUUCGAGCCCAAACUAAACCCAAUCAAAGAUGUUCGAGUACAAUUCCGACGAAAUAUACAUAUUUUAGGGAAAUUUAACCCACGAUAAUUCAUAAACGAAUGUUAAAGAUCAGAACAAAUUGAGGUUAUGUUAAAAAAAAUUAUUAGGGAGAAAAGGCCUCAAAAUCAGGAAUCCCACAAAUCAAUAAUUACAUAACAUAAUUACACGUCAAUAUAAAAUAAUGUGGUUUUAUCUUUUAUUUUUUUAAUCUAUGAAAAAUUAAAUUAUUUAAUAUUAUAAUAAAUUUUGAUUAUCCGACGGGCUAAAGAGCCAAUGGAGAUGUACUUUCAAAUAUGUCUUAAGUUGAGGUAUUGAUAGGGCACAAUUUAACCGUAUAUCAUAGCCACAAUAGUACUGAUGUGGAACUUAUAAGCCGAUGUGGUAGACCAUGUCGAUAGCUCAGACAAUGUGAUCGUCCCUCAACCCCCCCCCCCCCCCACCCAGCCUUUGCAGGACCGUAUAAGUGACACUGUCAGGUAUGAAGCUACCCCGGAAGGUCCGGAAUGAUGCCAUCGAGUAUAGAGCCACCCUGGAAUGAUCGAGACGGCGUUGCUCGGGGACGAUCUGCACAUAUUGACUGGAGUGACGCCAUCAAGUACAAAGCCACCCUGGAAUGAUCAGGACGGCACUGCUCAAGGACAAUCCGGACACGUCGACCGGAACGGCACCAUCGAGCACAAAGGCAUGGGCCGACUGCUUAAGGAGUCAGUGAUCAUUAACGUAUGGGGUACGAUCAUUCCCCGUAUACAAGUAUAAAAGCUCGUCACUUGGUCAAGGCCAAGGGAUUAGAGGGACUUUGAACACUUAACUCUCUCUCAUUCUGUCAAAAGCUAACUUAAGCUUUGGAGGGAUCGAGUCACGAAAUCCCCCUCCCAACCUCAAACUACGUGUAGGAGUCCAACGACGAAGAAGCAGGCUACUCACUAAGAGAGAAGACCAUGCUCGGGGGAGGACGCUCCCCCUCACCCCCCAAGUAUCCAUGUGGGUGACCUUGUACAUCCGGGGCUGGACUGAGCUGUGUUGACACCUCGACUACGACGUAAAGGUUCACCAAUAUUUUGGCAUUAGAAGGAGGGCCCGAUGUCGCAAGAAUGCCCACAGCCGAACAACCCGGAGGAGUGUCCCGGAGAGGAGCCACACCUGACCUCCGGCUUCGGAGGACAACCCCCAUUCCCUCCAAACCUAGGAGGAAACACCCCAAGCCACUAUUGGUGACUAUUCAACGAUCGUAGGCUAUCACCUCCCGGGACCAGCAUGGGUCAGCAUGCAGUCUCAACUGAGGCGUUCCUUAGCCUCACUCAUUAGGUACAAGCUUUGGUAGGGAUGAUGUAGACCAUUAUCCCUUUAGUCCCUCAGCUCGCCCAAUAAUCGGCAUUGCCUCAACCAUUGCAACUGACAACUCUUGGCCCCCCAUCACCGACGGCUCCUCAACAGCCCACUAUGGCGAACGUUACCCCAUCAUCUGAGGAGCUAUCGGAGAAUCCGAGGUUGAUACACAAGCAUAAUGCUCCCGACCUUGACACGUUAUCAUCUAACUCGAUAGACUCUCUUCGGGCUCAGCAACGAUCGAUUAAUCGGCGUCUUAAGGAAAUCCGAAGAGAGUUCCACAAAUCCAAGGAGGAGCUUGGUGAGGUUCCCCCGGGAGGGUCACCCUAUGUACAGGAGAUCUAGGACAAGCCUAUCCCGCAAAGCUUUCAUCUUCCUGCGCUCGAAGCUUAUGAUGACAACUCUAACCCAACGGAACAUGUUGCAGCAUUUCGAGCCCAGAUGGCCUUGUAUAGCACUUUGGAUGCCUUAAUGUGCCAAGCCUUCCCUACAACUCUCUAAGGCCCAGCGUGGAUAUGGUAUAGCCGGCUUAGGUCGGCCUCAGUUGCAUCCUUCAACCAGUUGGAAAAAAACUUUGAGCUUAAUUUCCUUGCCGGUGCACGACCACGGCCAUUCGUGGUCAUGCUCCUCGGCCUCAACCAAAAAGAUGAAGAGCCGCUCUCCCAGUUUGUCACUCGUUUCGCUACUAUGACUAGAGGAAUCCCUGACGGUCACCCUUCUCUGCUUAUGCAGGCAUUUCUGAUGGGUCUGUGACCAUCCAGAUUCUUCUGGUCACUAGUCGAAUGACCGACGAUGACUGUCCCCGAGAUGCUUCAAUGCGUGAACCAAUUCAUAGCUACUGAGACACUAAUGGCAAGAAUACAUGAAGAGCAUAAGAGACCCCGUGCAAAAGUCAUCACGAGGGCAAGCUUCGGGCCCACUAAGAAGAAGGCUCGACUAACCCGACCUACCGCUCCCGAAGGCCACUCUCACACUAUUGAAUUCAUCCAGAAUAGAAAUAUUUCUUCAAAUCAAAGAGAGAGGACUUUUGAGAGCACCUAAUCCAAUGAAGACCCCCGAGAACUUAGAAAUUGUUCAAAAUAUUAUCAGUUUUAUCGCGACUAUGGUUCAGCUGAAGAAAAAGUAAUGGAAUUUCUCAGGCAUAGGGAGGUAAGAGGUAGAGGCAUGAAGUAGAAGAUGAGAACAUUAGAUAGAAGGUAGAAGAGUAACAGAGGAGAAUAAAGGGUAGCAGCAGUUACAGAAAUAUACACUACAAAGGUCAGGAAUUGAGAGAGUUUCAUCAAAGAAGCAGUUUUUAAUGUCUAUUUCAAAUCAACAAAGCAAAAAAUCAAUCUUCCUGGUUUUAUCUUAUCUAUG
rnacentral:lncRNA from 1 species